rnacentral:rRNA from 1 species
AGGGAAUCUUCGGCAAUGGGGGCAACCCUGACCGAGCAACGCCGCGUGAGUGAAGAAGGUUUUCGGAUCGUAAAGCUCUGUUGUAAGUCAAGAACGAGUGUGAGAGUGGAAAAUUCACACUGUGACGGUAGCUUACCAGAAAGGGACGGCUAACUACGUGCCAGCAGCCGCGGUAAUACGUAGGUCCCGAGCGUUGUCCGGAUUUAUUGGGCGUAAAGCGAGCGCAGGCGGUUUGAUAAGUCUGAAGUUAAAGGCUGUGGCUCAACCAUAGUUCGCUUUGGAAACUGUCAAACUUGAGUGCAGAAGGGGAGAGUGGAAUUCCAUGUGUAGCGGUGAAAUGCGUAGAUAUAUGGAGGAACACCGGUGGCGAAAGCGGCUCUCUGGUCUGUAACUGACGCUGAGGCUCGAAAGCGUGGGGAGCGAACAGGAUUAGAUACCCUGGUAGUCCACGCCGUAAACGAUGAGUGCUAGGUGUUGGAUCCUUUCCGGGAUUCAGUGCCGCAGCUAACGCAUUAAGCACUCCGCCUGGGGAGUACGACCGCAAGGUUG